rnacentral:rRNA from 1 species
AUUGAACGCUGGCGGCAGGCCUAACACAUGCAAGUCGAACGGUAACAGGAAGCAGCUUGCUGCUUUGCUGACGAGUGGCGGACGGGUGAGUAAUGUCUGGGAAACUGCCUGAUGGAGGGGGAUAACUACUGGAAACGGUAGCUAAUACCGCAUAACGUCGCAAGACCAAAGAGGGGGACCUUAGGGCCUCUUGCCAUCGGAUGUGCCCAGAUGGGAUUAGCUAGUAGGUGGGGUAACGGCCCACCCAGGCGACGAUCCCUAGCUGGUCUGAGAGGAUGACCAGCCACACUGGAACUGAGACACGGUCCAGACUCCUACGGGAGGCAGCAGUGGGGAAUAUUGCACAAUGGGCGCAAGCCUGAUGCAGCCAUGCCGCGUGUAUGAAGAAGGCCUUCGGGUUGUAAAGUACUUUCAGCGGGGAGGAAGGGAGUAAAGUUAAUACCUUUGCUCAUUGACGUUACCCGCAGAAGAAGCACCGGCUAACUCCGUG